GUAGUAUCUCCCAGAGUAAGUAGUCAAACUGUUUAAGAACAGUUUGACAACUUACCUGGGAUCUGCCGGGAUAGGGGCUGUAGAAGAGUAUACGGGCAGUAAUAUGUGUGAGUGGUGGAGUAUUUUGGUGUGUGUGUGUGUGUGUGAGGGGUUCAGUGUGAGUGAGGGGUACAAUUUGUGUGUAUGGAUGGGCAGUGUGUAUAUGGGGGGGCUGUGUGUGUGUAUGGGGAGGUAAUUGUGUGCAUGGGGGGGUAAUUGUGUGUAUGGUAGGGUCAGUGUGUGUGUACGGGAGAGCAGUUUGUGUGUAUGGGGAGUUAUAUUGUCUCUGUUGGCGUAGGAGGUCAAAU